rnacentral:rRNA from 1 species
AGUGAACGCUGGCGGUAGGCCUAACACAUGCCAGUCGAACGGCAGCACAGUAAGAGCUUGCUCUUACGGGUGGCGAGUGGCGGACGGGUGAGGAAUACAUCGGAAUCUACUUUUUCGUGGGGGAUAACGUAGGGAAACUUACGCUAAUACCGCAUACGACCUACGGGUGAAAGCAGGGGAUCUUCGGACCUUGCGCGAUUGAAUGAGCCGAUGUCGGAUUAGCUAGUUGGCGGGGGAAAGGCCCACCAAGGCGACGAUCCGUAGCUGGUCUGAGAGGAUGAUCAGCCACACUGGAACUGAGACACGGUCCAGACUCCUACGGGAGGAAGCAGUGGGGAAUAUUGGACAAUGGGCGCAAGCCUGAUCCAGCCAUACCGCGUGGGUGAAGAAGGCCUUCGGGUUGUAAAGCCCUUUUGUUGGGAAAGAAAAGCAGCAGGUUAAUACCCCGCUGUUCUGACGGUACCCAAAGAAUAAGCACCGGCUAACUUCGUG